CAGUAGCCGCGGUAAUACGAAGGGUGCAAGCGUUAAUCGGAAUUACUGGGCGUAAAGCGUGCAUAGGCGGUUUGUUAAGUCUGUUGUGAAAUCCCCGGGCUCAACCUGGGAAUGGCAAUGGAUACUGGCAAGCUAGAGUGUGUCAGAGGAUGGUGGAAUUCCCGGUGUAGCGGUGAAAUGCGUAGAGAUCGGGAGGAACAUCAGUGGCGAAGGCAGCCCCCUGGGCCAACACUGACGCUCAUGCGCGAAAGCGUGGGGAGCAAGCAGGAUUAGAUACCCCGGUAGUCCCUGUCUCUUAUAC
rnacentral:rRNA from 1 species